GGUAAUCAGGCCCUUCACGUGGGAAUAUGAAGAGUUAAUUUCACGUGUGAAUAUUAAACCUUUUACUGAGCACAAUCAAGAAAUUUAUUUAGAACAUGACAGGCAGCUAAAACUAUUAUGCCCACUGUUCAAUUAGGAGCAGAAUUGAGUUAAAAAUAAUUUUUCCAUCUUGAAACACUUUACAAACACAAUUGUCUAUGAAAGAUGCUUUGUUUGUGACUAUCCUUUUUUUCUGUGAGUAUAAUAUUUUCUAUAGAUAGAUUCUUUCAGAAAGAUAUAUUUAUAAUGUUUCUAAUAUGAAAUCACUGAAGUCUAGUACAUUAGGUGCUUUAUGAUCUGAAAUGCAGUGGGGUGGGGGCAUUAGGGAAUUUCUGUUUACUUUUUUCUGCUAUGCCUUUUCUGACAUUUCUGUCUUGGUUUGCGCUUUUUAAGGAAAAGUCAGUACUACCAGGUCUUUUUCUGUCUGUCUGUUACUACAUUUGA
rnacentral:lncRNA from 1 species